CCGGUGGACUCGAUUGUAGUGUUUGCCGGCCUGAUUCUGAUCCUUAUCUCCACUCUACUCUACUCUACUCUACUCUACUGUCUCCUUUACUCCUUUCAUUCAUGUAUCAUGUUUCAUAUAACAGUUCUUGGUAAAAGGGAGGUGUGGUAGUUGUGCAGAAAGGGGCGUGCCUGUACAGUAAGGAAGUGGAUUCUGAUUGGAUGAUAUGACCUGAUUCUGAUCCUCCCCUCUCCUGUCCUCUACUGUCUCCAUUACUCCUUUCAUUCUGCUGAUGUAUUGUUUUUCUAACAGUUCUUGGUAAAAGGGAGGCGUGGUAGUUGUGCAGAAAGGGGUGUGCCUGUACAAUAAGGAAGUGCAUUCUGAUUGGAUAAUAUGACCUUUCAGGCUGAGCUAAAAGUUUGCAGAGUGAAGGAGGAAGUCCGUGUGUUGGUGUGGCUUUGGACAGGAGAAGAACCGCUCUGACUGCUCACCAGUGUUGACGCUUAGUGUAACGGAAACCUUGCAGACAUGAAGAGAUCACCCAGCAAAUCCAAAGAAUGCACCUUCAAUGCAGGCGCUGCUUAAUUACAUUCUAAGGAGCUUGGAAAGAAAAGUGACUGGACUUCUUUAAGUUUCUUGAAGACGUUUCACCCCCUCCUCCCAGAACCUUCUUCAGUUCUUAGACCAAAUGGUGGAGAGCAGGUGUUUAAGUCCAAGUGGAAGUUCACCCACUAUUCACGUGCCUCAUCACAUGAGCCAAGGUGGGAAAAAAGGACCUCAAACUCAAGGAAAGGAACAAACAUCAAAUUCUCUGUCAAACCGACCCGACCUUUCUGCUGAAGAUAAUCACCAGUGAUGAAGUCUGAACCUCCAGUGUGAAACCAGAGACAAAACCACAGAUGUCACACUUAAAAUGGGCACAGGACAAGUAAAGAAGCCAUCCACAGCAUGGACGCCUACAUGGUCUUUGAGCAGGUCCAGUCUUUCAAAAGUUUCUGGGCAUAGGAGACAAGAAUAGGAGCGAUUCUCUGUGUGCACUAGGAGAUGAUCAUCCAGGG